rnacentral:rRNA from 1 species
UACGUAGGAGGCAAGCGUUGUCCGGAAUUACUGGGCGUAAAGCGCGUGUAGGUGGUGGGACAAGUCUGCUGUGAAAGCGCCUGGCUUAACCGGGCGAGGUCGGCGGAAACUGUCCGACUAGAGGACGGUAGAGGGGGGGUGGAAUUCCCGGUGUAGUGGUGAAAUGCGUAGAGAUCGGGAGGAACACCUGUGGCGAAGGCGGCCCCCUGGGCCGGCCCUGACACUGAGACGCGAAGGCGUGGGGGAGCGAACGGG